rnacentral:rRNA from 1 species
AGAGUUUGAUCAUGGCUCAGGAUGAACGCUAGCUACAGGCUUAACACAUGCAAGUCGAGGGGAAACGAUAUUGGAAGCUUGCUUCCGAUAGGCGUCGACCGGCGCACGGGUGAGUAACGCGUAUCCAACCUGCCCACCACUUGGGGAUAACCUUGCGAAAGUAAGACUAAUACCCAAUGACGUCUCUAGAAGACAUCUGAAAGAGAUUAAAAGAUUUAUCGGUGAUGGAUGGGGAUGCGUCUGAUUAGCUUGUGGCGGGGUAACGCCACAAGGCUACGAUCAGUAGGGGUUCUGAGAGGAAGGUCCCCCANAUUGGAACUGAGACACGGUCCAAAACUCCUACGGGAGCA